rnacentral:rRNA from 1 species
UACGUAGGGGGCAAGCGUUGUCCGGAAUCAUUGGGCGUAAAGCGCGUGUAGGCGGCUGACUAAGUCCGCUCUGAAAGCCCGGGGCUCAACCCCGGGAGGCGGGUGGAUACUGGUCAGCUCGAGUCCGGAAGAGGAGUGUGGAAUUCCUGGUGUAGUGGUGAAAUGCGCAGAUAUCAGGAGGAACACCAAUGGCGAAGGCAGCACUCUGGGACGGUACUGACGCUGAGACGCGAAAGCGUGGGGAGCAAACAGG